GGAAUCUUCGGCAAUGGGGGCAACCCUGACCGAGCAACGCCGCGUGAGUGAAGAAGGUUUUCGGAUCGUAAAGCUCUGUUGUAAGAGAAGAACGUGUGUGAGAGUGGGAAGUUCACACAGUGACGGUAACUUACCAGAAAGGGACGGCUAACUACGUGCCA
rnacentral:rRNA from 1 species